AAUAUCUGAGACGAGACCUGCAAAGACGCUGCUUCUUUUUCUUGUUUUGACACUUGUUCUUCUUUUCAUCACAGUUGACCAUCGAGUUUCAACUGUUUACUUGACUGUUUCACCUAAGCCCCAGGUGGACCCUUCUGAGCACAAUAAAAGUGUAUCCAAUUCACGAAAUAUGUUAAUUCAUUUUCAUAAGGAUUUUUAUACCGGGAACAAAACACAGGUUUAUUACUGAUUAUUAACAAGCUAAACGGAAGGUUUGGAAUACUCGUUAAAGUAAAAAAGUCAUGGUAAAGCAAAAAUGAUGUGGAAUAUUUUAUUUGGGAUACCAAUACUUUCACUCAAAAAGCUGCUGGUUGCACCUGACAGUUCGUGACAGCAGUUGACUGGCAGCAGCUGAAGUUACAUUUUUUCCUCUUUGCAGGUCUCGUCUCAGAUAAAUAUUACAGUAAUAUUACACAGAUAUAGCUGCAACCAAUUGAUUAUAACUAUGGCUUUGUGAAAUUACACAAAUUGAACCGCAGUUCGCAACACAAUCAUUUAUAUUAAUUUCGAUUUUUCGAAGGUUUAUUUGAAACGGGCAUCGAUAACACGGAAUUCUCGACUUUAAUGGAGUUGUUUUGUGCCGACAGUUUCCCGAUGGAAGGAGCGGCAGUUGCAUCUAUCCGGUCCGUUAUGUACCGAACCGGAGGCCAGUUUAGAAAGCCAGUGUGGUAGUAGCGGAUUGUUAUUUAUAUAUUAUUCGCUCGGCUACGACAGCCAGGAGGCAAAUUUAGAAAACCAGGAGGCCAAUUUAAGUGAUACCGGUUGUGCAACAAGCAAGAUUCUACCCGGUGCCACGGCAUACAAAAAACAAGGCAGGCUCAUCACUGACUUGCUCUGAUCGCCAAACAAAUCCAUUCUCCACAACUUCGUUAGAAAAUCACUUGAACUAUGGGUAAGAGGUUGAAAACAUUACACCCCAGAAGAAUAGCCCCAGAAACUAAUUACCACCGUACGCUUACUACUCACCUAUACAUCUACGGUUUAAGGAACCAUCGGAACAGAUCGGAACCCAUCUCAUCAUGGUUGCUGGUGGUUGUCGGGUAGGAUCGUGUCGAAAGCCCAAACGCCAAGCGGAAAAUGAAGCAGUUCAUUGAUGAGUGUUCUUGAAGUAGUGCAGGUUUUAAGUGAGGACACCGAACGUCAAAUCUAUCUACAGACUGAGAAGACCCGUCUGUAUCCGUGAAGGUAACUGGUAUAACCUCGAGGAUUUUACAAGGUGGAUCGAUCAGGUGGAAGACGAUUUACGGACCAUUUGUAGACUGCUUGGUUGGCGACGUACAGGCAUGGACCGUGUUGAGAGGAUGCCACUG